UUAAUUUGUUUCCUCAAAAAUUAUUUCCUGUAUCAUAUUUAGAUGAGCUUUUAUGCAUAAGUAACUAAAGUGAACUCAUUUAUUAUCUAUGACUCU